rnacentral:rRNA from 1 species
AACGAACGCUGGCGGCAUGCCUAACACAUGCAAGUCGAGCGCGCCUUUCGGUUCUCGUCGCGCGCGUGUGUGUCACGUGUGGAUAUCUGCCCUUCGACUCGAUAUAACUCCCCGACUGGGGUUCUUAUACCAUAUGCUCUCUUCGGUCCAAAGAUUUCUCGCCGUUGGAUGCGCCCGCGUUGGAUUAGCUAGUUGGUAGGGUAAAGGCCUACCAAGGCGACGACCCAUAGCUGGUCUGAGAGGAUGAUCAGCCACACUGGGACUGAGACACGGCCCAGACUCCUACGGGAAGCAGCAGUGGGGAAUAUUAGACAAUGGGGGAAAGACUGAUCUAGCAAUGCCGCGUGAGUGAUGAAGGCCUUAGGGUUGUAAAGCUCUUUUAGCCGGGAAGAUAAUGACAGUACCAGGAGAAUAAGCCCCGGCUAACUCCGUG